GAUGAACGCUGGCGGCGUGCCUAACACAUGCAAGUCGAGCGGCAGCGCGGGGUGCUUGCACCCUGUCGGCGAGCGGCGGACGGCUGAGUAACGCGUGGGAACGUGCCCCAAAGUGAGGAAUAACUGCCCGAAAGGGUAGCUAAUACCGCAUAUUAUCUUCGGAUCAAAGGAUUUAUCCGCUUUGGGAGCGGCUCGCGUCGGAUUAGGUAGUUGGUGAGGUAAUGGCUCACCAAGCCGACGAUCCGUAGCUGGUCUGAGAGGAUGACCAGCCAGACUGGAACUGAGACACGGUCCAGACUCCUACGGGAGGCAGCAGUGAGGAAUCUUCCACAAUGGGCGAAAGCCUGAUGGAGCAACGCCGCGUGCAGGACGAAGGCCUUCGGGUUGUAAACUGCUUUUAGAAGUGAGGAAUAUGACGGUAACUUAGGAAUAAGGAUCGGCGAACUACGU
rnacentral:rRNA from 1 species